AGCAGCCGCGGUAAUUCCAGCUCCAAUAGCGUAUAUUAAAGUUGUUGCAGUUAAAAAAGCUCGUAGUUGAAUUUCGGGAUCAAUAUGUCGGUCGUGCCUUCGGUACGUACUGGUAUCAUUGGUCUCUCCUUUCUGACGAACCAUGAUGUCAUUAAUUUGGUGUUAUGGGGGAGUUAGGACUGUUACUUUGAAAAAAUUAGAGUGUUUAAAGCAGGCUUUAGCUUGAAUACAUUAGCAUGGAAUAAUGAAAUAGGACGUUCGAACCUAUUUUGUUGGUUUCUAGGAUCAACGUAAUGAUUAAUAGGGAUAGUUGGGGGGCAUUAGUAUUCAAUUGUCAGAGGUGAAAUUCUUGGAUUUAUUGAAGACUAACUACUGCGAAAGCAUUUGCCAAGGAUGUUUUCAUUAAUCAAGAACGAAAGUUAGGGGAUCGAAGACGAUCAGAUACCGUCGUAGUCUUAACCAUAAACUAUGCCGACUAGGGAUCGGAUGAUGUUAAUUUUUUAAUGACUCAUUCGGCGCC
rnacentral:misc_RNA from 1 species